CCUACGGGAGGCAGCAGUGGGGAAUAUUGGACAAUGGGCGAAAGCCUGAUCCAGCCAUGCCGCGUGUGUGAAGAAGGCCUUCGGGUUGUAAAGCACUUUCAGUGGGGAAGAAAGCCUUGGGGCUAAUACCCUCGAGGAAGGACAUCACCCACAGAAGAAGCACCGGCUAACUCCGUGCCAGCAGCCGCGGUAAUACGGAGGGUGCGAGCGUUAAUCGGAAUUACUGGGCGUAAAGCGCGCGUAGGCGGUCUGAUAAGCCGGUUGUGAAAGCCCCGGGCUCAACCUGGGAACGGCAUCCGGAACUGUCAGGCUAGAGUGCAGGAGAGGAAGGUAGAAUUCCCGGUGUAGCGGUGAAAUGCGUAGAGAUCGGGAGGAAUACCAGUGGCGAAGGCGGCCUUCUGGACUGACACUGACGCUGAGGUGCGAAAGCGUGGGUAGCAAACAGGAUUAGAUACCCCUGUAGU
rnacentral:rRNA from 1 species